UGGAAAGAGAAGAAUGGAAGUCAUAGAUUUUUAAGGAUGUAAAAUCAGUAUUUUAAAUUGUAAAACAGAAAAUUUAAUGUGUGUGUGUGUGUGUGUGUGUGUGUGUGUGUGGAGUAGCAAUGGCUGCUAGUCAAUGUGGCUCUGUUCCACCUCCAC